UUUUUUGUUUCAGUCGGCAUUGGAUUUUCAAAGUCUUCAAGAAAGCCCACAUUUGCCUGGUUUGUUUUACAAGCAGCCCAAGUGUAUUUGCUUUAUUUUUUGAUGGUAGUGUGCAUGCAGAUGGGAACACCAGCCCACAUCUUGCCUGUAGAAGGUUGCUUCACCAGCAUAGGACAUGGUGUACUGGUAGAAACCUACACUGGUAUUGCAGUAACUUCUCAGCAGCCACUUAUGAACAUCAGCAAGGAGUCCUUCAUAAGAAAUUGUGCCCAUAGGAAAGGCUGGAUUAUCAACAGUUGAAGGAGAUGCAUAUUUAGGAGGAGAAAGUAUGAAAGCACUUGGAAGUCUUUCAGCCAGCGAUGGCUGUCAUGGAGUAGAUGCUGGCGAAGACAGCUGUGAUUGGGAAGAAGUUGUGGAAGCGGCAGUAAGCCUCUCCAAAGUACCACUCGCUGUGCAGUGCAUAGAUGAAGUUGAUG